CCUACGGGUGGCAGCAGUGAGGAAUAUUGGUCAAUGGGCGAGAGCCUGAACCAGCCAAGUCGCGUGAAGGAUGAAGGAUCUAUGGUUUGUAAACCUCUUUUAUCUGGGAAUAAAGUGCGGCACGUGUUGCUUUUUGUAUGUACCAUAUGAAUAAGCAUCGGCUAACUCCGUGCCAGCAGCCGCGGUAAUACGGAGGAUGCGAGCGUUAUCCGGAUUUAUUGGGUUUAAAGGGUGCGUAGGUGGUUGAUUAAGUCAGCGGUGAAAGUUUGUGGCGCAAACAUAGAAUUGCCGUUGAAACUGGUUGACUUGAGUAGACGAGAGGUAUGCGGAAUGCGUGGUGUAGCGGUGAAAUGCAUAGAUAUCACGCAGAACUCCGAUUGCGAAGGCAGCAUACUAAACCAUAACUGACACUGAAGCACGAAAGCGUGGGGAUCAAACAGGAUUAGAUACCCGAGUAGUC
rnacentral:rRNA from 1 species